UACGGAGGAGGCAAGCGUUAUCCGGAAUUAUUGGGCGUAAAGCGUCCGCAGGUGGCGAUUCAAGUCUGCUGUCAAAGGUCGGGGCUUAACCCCGGGAAGGCAGUGGAAACUGAAUAGCUAGAGUGCGGUAGGGGCAGAGGGAAUUCCCGGUGUAGCGGUGAAAUGCGUAGAGAUCGGGAAGAACACCAGUGGCGAAAGCACUUUACUGGGCUAUUACUAACACUGAGAGACGAAAGCUAGGGUAGCAAAUGGG
rnacentral:rRNA from 1 species